GGAGGAGGUGGUAGAGGUGGUUUUGGUAAUGGGGGCAGAGGAGGAAGUUGGGGUUGAGGAGAUUUAUCUAGACGAAGAGUGGUGGGCGGCGCCUGUGAUUGAGAUAGGUCAGGAAGCGUUGGAGGAGGUAGGAGAGGAGGAGGAGGAAGGAGAGGUAGGAGCAGAGGAAGGAGAUCUAGAGGAGGCAGUCGAAGUGGAGGAAGCACCAGAGGAGGUGGUUGGUGGAGGUUGGAUCGAGUGGAUAAUGGAUUUCAUUUCAUAGUGUUGUUUGUUUGUUUUUCUUUUCCCCAUGUGAGCAACAAAUGUUUAUGGAGAAUUUAUUAAUUCCUUAAUUCCUUAUUUUUGCCACUGUGUUAUAGAAACAUGCCACCAUUUUUGUCAUUGUCAAUGAGUAAGGGCUAGAAUUAUGUCUGUCACACAAAUGCUAUUCAUUAUUUCUAUCCUCGUAAAGAGAUUUAAGAAAUAUAUCUUUUUUCCUGUCCACAUUAUUACAAGAAAGUCACCUUUGUUUUCAUGGUCACUGUGAUUAUUAUCAUUUAUUUGAUAGACAACAGAACAAGAUGUGACAAAGUUUCAUCCCACAAUGUUAAAUUUUGAAAGGUGAUACUACUGGAUACCUUACUCUCAAUAUCAAGCCUAUAUUGUAGUGAGCAUUAUCGGAGACAUGACAUGCAAGCUGCAAUUUCAUGAAAGGUGACCAUGCAGGCAUGGUAAUCCCUUAAAAAUAGUAGCACUUAUGUUGAGCUCCAAUUAAUUUUGUGUUUAUUCCACUGCUUUUGCUUUUUAGUCUCUUGCAACUUUAGGGACCAAAAUUGUGAUCCCAGGUACGUAGUUCCAAAAUUAUGCAACAUUUCGUUAGUGCAUACAGACCCAUAAUUGCUCAAAAACAUGAACUCAUGUACAAAUCCAAUGCAAAAUGUAUCAUAUUUUGCUUUUACUGAUUAAAAUCAAUUAAUUUGAGCACUGCAGAGUAAAGUACAGGUCCUCUUAAGGACGCUACAUCGCUAUGUUUAUGCGCAACACUCAUUAUCUGCACUCUAACUGCAGAUUCGAUGUGUUAUUUUAUGAAGCUAAAGCUGGAAUUAUUCCAUGGACCAUUUUUAAAAUACCUCUACAAUUUCAAAAUACUUUGUUCUGCAGUGCUGCAAAGUAUGAUGAAUAUGGCCCGGAGUUUGAAUUUAUUUAUUUUUCAAGAAGCAAUAAAUUUAAACAUGGUAAUUACGAUACUUCUAUUCAUUGUAAUAUGAAGAGAGAAACAAAAAAAAAGGUUAUCAAUUUAAUACUUAAAGAAAGAAUGCCGAUUGGAUCAAAUUAGCAAUUAGUGAUGGUGGUCAUUUGGUUGAACUUUAAGAGAAUUAAAUUAAUAAUUGUACAUGUACAUGACAUUUGUCACGAUUAUGUGAGGGUUUAACAAAACAAAAACAGCGAAGUGAGUAUUAAACAAAUUAUAAAAAAAUCAAGAUUCAUGCCCAAAGUAUAUUCAAGGAAACAGCUUCUUAGAUAUCAACUGAAUUUUAGCUACCAUUAAAGAAAGUAUUUAAAUUUUUGUGUAACAGAAAAAUUCAGCAAUAUAAAGAAUGGGAAUAUAUGGCAAAGCAUUAGAAAAUCAAAUAAUCAUGAAUCACACACGCGUUCAAAGAAAUGGUCUGACAUGAACUAAGUAAAGAGCUUUACAUGAAAUGGGGAAUGGUAAUUAAUUGUAUGAAGGUGUAAUAGAGAAUUUAAGUCGAUUGAAAUACGUACUGCAAAUUAUUAGAAAACCAAAUAAUUAAGAUCCACACAAGAGUGUGACAUUAAAUGUAGAAAGAAA